CCUACGGGAGGCAGCAGUGAGGAAUAUUGGUCAAUGGGCGCGAGCCUGAACCAGCCAAGUAGCGUGAAGGAUGACUGCCCUACGGGUUGUAAACUUCUUUUAUAAAGGAAUAAAGUGAGGCACGUGUGCAUUUUUGUAUGUACGUUAUGAAUAAGGAUAGGCUAACUCCGUGCCAGCAGCCGCGGUAAUACGGAGGAUCCGAGCGUUAUCCGGAUUUAUUGGGUUGAAAGGGAGCGUAGAUGGGUUGUUAAGUCAGUUGUGAAAGUUUGCGGCGCAACCGGAAAAUUGCACUUGAGACUGGCAGUCUUGAGUACAGUUGAGGUAGGCUGAAUUCGUUGUGUAGCCGUGACAUGCUUAGAUAUCACG
rnacentral:rRNA from 1 species